UACGUAGGGUGCAAGCGUUGUCCGGAAUUAUUGGGCGUAAAGGGCUCGUAGGCGGUUUGUCGCGUCGGGAGUGAAAUCCACUGGCUUAACUGGUGGCUUGCUUUCGAUACGGGCAGACUGGAGGUAUGCAGGGGAGAACGGAAUUCCUGGUGUAGCGGUGAAAUGCGCAGAUAUCAGGAGGAACACCGGUGGCGAAGGCGGUUCUCUGGGCAUGUCCUGACGCUGAGGAGCGAAAGCCAGGGGAGCGAACGGG
rnacentral:rRNA from 1 species